ACCCCCCCCAAAAUCCAACCCCAAACCCCCAAAACAAAGGAGGCGGAGGCGGGAGGCUCUGUCUAGUAUUUUAUUAGAUUUCGUUUCCAAUAUGCCUGUAUUGGAAGAUUUAGGAGACAAAAAAGGCACAAACUCACAUUUAAAGAAACGACGAGAUAAUCUAACCCUUUCUACAAAGUGUGUUGCCAAAGGAAAAGAGCACGAUGAACCCAUCGGGACGUGGCGGGAGGCCCAGCGGGAUGAACCCAGAGGGGUGUGGGAUGGGAGUGAAGGUCCCAGUGCAUCCAUCACCCCUGGACAGACCAGUGGAGGAUGGAGCAAGGGUCCCAGCAUAUACAUCCACCUUGGAUGGACCAACAGCAGAUGGGAGCAACAGUCCUGGCACAUCCAUCGCCCCUGGAUGGGCCAAUGUCCCAGGGCCAAUCCCGCUGGGAGCCGACAGGUCGAGGGGUUCUUGCCAAAGCUGAUGAGAGAUACGGCACGGGAACGCUGCGUGAUCUUCGCUAUGCUCACUAGCAGGAACCAAGCAUCGAGACUGAAGGGUCUUUACAGGAUUUGUCUAUCCCAAGGCUGAGGGAUGCUUCCACUUCGGAUCAAAUUGGAAGGAAAGAAAACACAGGGCAAGGGAGGCGGGGGGGGGGGGUAUUCAGGCUGAAGUUCCUGCAGUUUUCCUCCCCCCGCCUCCAAGUUUUUCCACUAAUCAGGAAAGCUUUGUGUAAAAGCUCUUACUCUGAAAUCAGAGGAUCAAAAAAGGAUUGCACGGUGGAAUGUUACAAUCUGCUUCCACGGCGAUUAGUGUCAUCAGAUGGAAAGCCUCUUGGAUAACACAAACUGAAAGAACAAGUGUGCUGUGUGUAUUCUCAGGUUGCCCUCAAGUGUAAGAAUCCCUCAAAACGUAACCAACAAACACGAACAGAAGUCAGUGCAUAAAUUCUCAGUUAAAAAUACUUCAAACUGAAAGAACUCUAACUGGGGCCUACACUCCUAAAAAAACUUCUGGAACAGCUACAGAACAUGCCAUGAAACAUCCUGGUCCCAAAUAGCCUCACAGAUUAAAAUUUAAUUUCUUUACCUAUUUUACAAUAAAUUUGUUUUACUUCUGCCUGGUGAGAUUGCU
rnacentral:lncRNA from 1 species